rnacentral:tRNA from 1 species
GGGCUGUUAGCUCAGCCGGUAGAGCAGCGGACUUUUAAUCCGUUGGUCGCGGGUUCGAUUCCCGCACGGCCCACCA